AUUAGGCGCGGUGGUGCGUGCCUGUAGUCCCAGGUACUCAGGAGGCUGAGGCGGCAGGACGCUUGAGCUCAGGAGUUCUGGGCUGCAGUGUGCUAUGCCGAUCGGGUGUCCGCACUAAGUUCGGCAUCAAUAUGGUGACCUCCCGGGAGCCACCAGGUUGCCUAAGGAGGGGUGAGCUGGCCCAGGUCAGAAACGGAGCAGGUCAAAACUCCUGUGCUGAUCAGUAGUGGGAUUGUGCCGGUGAAGAGCCACCGCACUCCAGCCUGGGCAACAUAGCAAGACUCCGUCUCA
rnacentral:SRP_RNA from 1 species